rnacentral:tRNA from 1 species
GCCGGUGUGGCUCAGUGGGUAGAGUGUCCACCGACAGACGGAAGGGUUGUGGGUUCGAUUCCCAGUCAAGGGCA